CUCCCUUCCUGUUACUCUUCUGGCUGCUCCUACAGAGAUGGACAAGUUCCAAGGAAAGGGAACCUGUCACCCAAGCUCUAGUCCUUAAAACAAAUCAUAAAUCAAAGGAAAAGGAUGGUUUCUGAAUACCUUUAAAUACAAAAUUUAGAGAAAAAUGAUAAUGAGGAGGAGGAGGAAAGAGAAGAGGAGGAGGAGGAGGAGGAGGAAAGCAAAGGAGAAGAAAGAAGACGAGGGUGGUGAUGGUGGCAGGGCACGUGAACACGAAGUAGCUGUGGUGACAGACAGCACAGCACGUGGGCUAAAGCACCUGUUUGGAUACUCAUCCUCCUGCCUUUAGUGAUGUCACCUUGAGCAAUCGAUGGAAACCUCUCUGUGCCUCAGUUUCCCCGUCUAAUCUCAUAAAGUUCCUUGGAG
rnacentral:lncRNA from 1 species